rnacentral:rRNA from 1 species
CUCCGCCUACGUGACGCAGCAGUGGGGGAUAUUGGACAAUGGGGGAAACCCUGAUGCAGCGACGCCGCGUGAGUGAAGAAGUAUCUCGGUACGUAAAGCUCUAUCAGCAGGGAAGAAAAUGACGGUACCUGACUAAGAAGCCCCGGCUAACUACGUGCCAGCAGCCGCGGUAAUACGUAGGGGGCAAGCGUUAUCCGGAUUUACUGGGUGUAAAGGGAGCGUAGACGGCAGCACAAGUCUGGAGUGAAAUCCCG